GAUGACUGUGCUAUGUCACAGGAGCAAUGAGAGGGGUCAAAGAUUUCAAAAAAUGUAUAUAAGACAAAAACUGAAAAGAUAUCAUUCAUUCCACUAUGCCAAUUAUUAAGCCCCUUUGCAAGGAGAGAGAGUUGCCAACAUAUGGAGCUGGAGCUCAAGGGAUUUCUUUGGGCUACUCCUGGACCCUGUUAACAGCAAACCCAAGGAAGGAAGGAAGGAAAGAAAGAAAGAAAGAAGGAAUGAAGGAAAGAUGGGAUGGAGGGAGGGAGGAUAUCAAUAUGAAAUAAUUAAUUGUAAUUUUAUAUACCAGCAACAAAUAAUUGGAAAAAGAAACUUUAAAAACUGCAAUUUACAAUAACAUAAAAACAUUAAAUUCUUAGGAAUAAAUGUGAAAGGUUUAGGUACACUGAAAACUAAAAUAUAUUGCUAAGACAUAGUAACAAAGAGCCAAAUAAAUGGAGAGAUAAACUUUGUUCAUGGGUCAAAAAAUUCAGUAUGUUUAAGAUGUCAAUUGUCCCCAAAUUGCUCUAUGGAUUCAAUACAAUCCCAACAAAAUCCCAGAAGUCUUUUUCUAAAAUGAAUGGGCUGCUUCUAAAAUUUACAUGGAAAUGCAAAGGUCCUAAGAUAACCAAAAUGAAUUUGUGAAUGAAGAAAAAAAUUAGAAGAUCAACACCACCUGGUUUCAAGAUUUAUUUAAUAUAAUGCUUCAGAAAUCAAGCAGUACAGUACUGAUACAAAGAAAUACAAAUCAAACAAUGGGAAAGAAAAGAGAGUCCAGAAAUAGACCUACAUAUAUAAUGGACAACUGAGUUUUGAAAAGGUACACAGGCAGUUUAGUGGAGAAAGAAUCAUUUUUUUCACUUGUUGAUGCUGGAACAAUUAAAUAUCCAUAAGCUAAAAAUGAUCUUUGAUCUGUACUUUAUACACUGUACAGAAAUUGACUUGAAAUGAUCAUAGACCUCAAUAUAAAACCUAACUAUAAAAACUCUACAUGACAGGAUAAAACCUCAGCAUUGGGUUUUAGAUUUCUUAGAUAUAAUACAAAAAGCAUAAUGCACAGAACAAACAAAUAAAUUGAAUGCCAUCAAAAUUAAAACCUUCACUAUUUGAAAUAUACAGUUAGAGAAUGAAAUGACAAGCUACAAAUGGGGGGAAAAUACUUUCAAAUCCUAUAUUUGAUAAAGUAUAUAGAAUACUUAAAGAACCCUUAAAUCUCAAUAAAAAUAAACAACUCUUUUUAGAAGGUAAAAGAUUUGAACAGAUUAUACAAUAAAGAGAAACAAAUGGGAAAUAAGCACAUGAGAAGAUGUUCAACAUCAUUAGCUAAUACAGAAAUGCAAAUUAAAUCCACAAUGAGACACCACUACAUAUCAAUUAGAAUAGCUAGAAUUAAGACUCUCUGUGAAGUGCAGAAAAGGAUGCAGAUGAACAGUAACCUCAAGCACUGCUGGUGGGAAAAUAAAAUGGUACAAUCACUUUGGAAACAGUUUGGGAGUUUCUAAAAACCUUAAACAAAUGCCUACCAUAUAACCCAAUCAUUCCUUUCCUAAGUGUUCAUCAAAAGAAAAGAAAGCAUACCUCCAUGCAAGGACUUGUACACAAAUGUUCAUAGUAUCUUUGUUAAUCAAAAAAUUGGAAACAACCCAAAUAUCCAUCAACAAACAACCAUAAAAUAUUGAUCAGCAAUAGGAAAGAGUGAACUAUUUAGGCAGUCUUCAUGGAUGAAUUAAAAAAAAUACAAUUAUGCUGUAUGAAAACAGACAACAGAAAAAGAGUACAUACUUUAUGAUUUCAUUUGUAUAAAUUUCUAGAAAAUGAAAACUAAUUUCUAGUGACCAGAAGCAGAUCAGUACUUUCUUGAGGACAAGGGAAAAGGCAAAAGGGUAGGACUACAAAGGUACAAGGAAACUUUUGGGGUAAUGUGUUCAUUAUCUUGUUUGGUAGUGAUGGUUUCAUGGGUGUAAACAUAUGCCUAUGCUAGUCAAAUUGUACCCUUUAAAUAUGAGUAGUGUUGUGUGUCAAUUAUACCAUGAUAAAGCUGUUUAC